UCAGUCGGCCGGACGGCCGCUCCCGCAAAACGCCGAAAGGCGGCGGGGGAGGAAAGUCCGGGCUCCAUCGACAUACGGUGCCGGAUAACAUCCGGCGGGGGCAACCCCAGGGAAAGUGCCACAGAGAACGAACCGCCUGGCGAGGCUCCGAUAGGAGCGAAGCGGGGUAAGGGUGAAAAGGUGCGGCAAGAGCGCACCGCGUUUCCGGCAACGGAACCGGCAGGGUAAACCCCACCGGGAGCAAGACCGAAUAGGGACGGCAACGCGGAUCGGUUCGCGCAAGCGAUAACACCGCGGGAGCGAUGUCAGGCUCGCCGUCCGGGUAGGUUGCUCGAGGCGAUGUGCGAACAUUGUCCCAGAGGAAUGGCCGUCACGCAUCGUUGCGCGCCAGCGCGGCGGUGCCCUACAGAACCCGGCUUACAGGCCGGCUGAUAUG
rnacentral:RNase_P_RNA from 1 species